rnacentral:rRNA from 1 species
GAUCAACGCUGGCGGCGUGCUUAACACAUGCAAGUCGAACGAAGUUUUUCUUUCGGGAGGAACUUAGUGGCGGACGGGUGAGUAACGCGUGGGUAACCCGCCCUGUACAGGGGGACAACAGCUGGAAACGGCUGCUAAUACCGCAUAAGCCCUUAGCACUGCAUGGUGCAUAGGGAAAAGGAGCAAUCCGGUACAGGAUGGACCCGCGUCUGAUUAGCCAGUUGGCAGGGUAACGGCCUACCAAAGCGACGAUCAGUAGCCGAUCUGAGAGGAUGUACGGCCACAUUGGGACUGAGACACGGCCCAGACUCCUACGGGAGGCAGCAGUGGGGAAUAUUGCACAAUGGAGGAAACUCUGAUGCAGCGACGCCGCGUGAGUGAAGAAGUAUUUCGGUAUGUAAAGCUCUAUCAGCAGGAAAGAAAAUGACGGUACCUGACUAAGAAGCACCGGCUAAAUACGUG